GUCAAAAUGCCCGAUUUUCUGUCCCAGUCCAGCCCUGCAGGUUAUACUGGCAGUGUCACCAUGCCAGCUGAAUGUAUUUCAUCAUCAGCCAGUGCUGUUCUUUAUCAAUAUUACCAAAGUUUACCAUAAGGCAGCAUAGAAAGUAUUUACUUGCUUUCAGGUUUUAUUCAAAUGUUAGUCUUUUCAGUUGUUUCUCCACUUUUUUCCUGUUUCAAAAUCAAACACCAGUUUGUGAGAAGAUUAUCUUCUUUUUUUAACAGGCAGAGAAAGUUUUGCAUUGACAUUGGCUAAUUUGUCAAUUGUUUGUUACAAAUGUUCGUAUUUUAAUAUUCAAAAAUGUUUUUGCCCAAAACAUAUGUGCACUACAUGUCAGUAAAAAUGCUAUGCAAAUAUUGCUGUCCUUGAAUGCUGAGUAAACACUGACAAAGCACUGAUUGUAUCUCUUGUACUUUAUCAACACAGUAUCUAAAAACUUUGCACCGUAGUGGUUAAAAUCUCAUUCUAAUAAGAGUUAAAAGUGCAUUUGGUUAUUAGGUUUAUAGGAUUAUUGAAUUAUGGUUAAUGGUUGGUAGAAUUUUUUUUUUUUUUAAACAUUAUCUGCCAAUUAAAUCUGCCAUCCUUCUCCAAAUCUGUGCCCCUACCUGGCCCCCCCAACAAAAAUUUUCUAGACACGCCACUGGUCGGAACUGUAUGCGCAGUCGCACUAAGGACAGAUGUGCUCAGAGGCAUGCCCCGUAACGUGUAUAGAGCAGUCUGUCGCGGCAGGAAUAAGUUGUACAAAGUCCAUUUAAGUUACGAUAAUACUUUGAUAAGUAUGAUAAGUGUGUUUCUAAUGUAAGGUAUGUUGCUGCGUUUGUAUUGUGAGCUAUCUGAAAACGUUUUUAUUCUGUAUUUACGUUACUUACAUCCAUGUGCUAUUUUUUAGCUAGACAUGUGUGUCAUGCAAGCUAGCAGCACCCCAUGAGAAACGGGCCGAAGUGUUUAAGUGUUUACCGGAGUUUUGCACCCUUGGCAAGCGGACUGAGGUAUGUGAUGAGAGAUGAUCUGUUG
ensembl:lncRNA